GAUGAACGCUAGCGAUAGGCUUAACACAUGCAAGUCGAGGGGCAGCACAAGGUAGCUUGCUAUCUGGGUGGCGACCGGCGCACGGGUGCGUAACGCGUAUGCAACUUGCCCUAUACAGGAGGAUAACCCGUCGAAAGACGGACUAAUACUGCGUAUGCUCACAACUUGGCAUCAAGUGGUGAGGAAAGAAAUUCGGUAUAGGAUAGGCAUGCGUCCCAUUAGCUUGUUGGUGAGGUAACGGCUCACCAAGGCAACGAUGGGUAGGGGAACUGAGAGGUUUAUCCCCCACACUGGUACUGAGACACGGACCAGACUCCUACGGGAGGCAGCAGUGAGGAAUAUUGGUCAAUGGGCGCGAGCCUGGACCAGCCAAGUCGCGUGAAGGAUGACUGUCUCAUGGAUUGUAAACUUCUUUUAUACGGGAAUAACAAGAGUCACGUGUGACUCCCUGCAUGUACCGUAUGAAUAAGCAUCGGCUAACUCCGUG
rnacentral:rRNA from 1 species